AGAAAACACAGACGUUCGAAAGUUUGGAACUGGAAAGGACCAUAUAGGAUCUCACAAUGCCUGGUAUAAAGCAAAUAAUAUGGACUGUCUUUUUGCUUUUAAUUGCUGGUAUUCUAAUGCGAAAAAAAUCAAUCCACAUAGAAAAUGAAACAUACGAUAAAAAUAUAGACUCAAGCCAUACUCAAAAAACUACAUCAAACUCAAUAAACACAUAUGAAGAAAUCGACACAAAAGAAGGAAUGUAUAUAAUAUUUGCCUUUGUUAUAACAUCAUUUGUGGGUAUUGCUGUAGCUUGGUGCCAGGUCAACAAUCAGUAGGAAAACGUUUAUAACAAACACAGCGUUAUGUGUUACAUCUUAUUACACAUGAACGGAAACCUUUUUGUGUAUUAUAUUUUACAAUUUUUAAUCACAUAAAAAUCUGCAAACUGAAUCUGAUAAUUAAAAGGAAUAGAUAGGAAUUCAUAGAAACUUUUUACUUUGAGAUUUCUCUCCAAAAAAACAGUACAAGCGAGUUAAUAAUGUGAUAUUAUGAAAAUCAUGAAACUAUAAGGAUAAACAUAUAUGUGACCGAAGCCAAUAAGUUUGACGCAAAUCGACAAAUCGAAGUCAAGUAUUAUAUGUAUGUAUCUAAUGAGCCGAUUGCUUCUCAUUGUCACAGUAUCGUUCAGAAAACACAGACGUUCAAAAGUUUGAAACUGAGAAAAAGAUUGUAUAAAAUCUUACGAUGAAUCAUAUACUACGCAUAUAUUGGACUAUGGGCUUCACGCUUCUAAUUUGUGAAAUUAUAAUGCCAGAUAUGUCUGACAAUACAGAAAGUACUACAAAAAUCGAAAGAAUAUUAUCAAAAAUACUAAUCCAUGGCCAGCGUGCGCUAUUUACCGUAGACAUUUUCUUGAAGUUUCUUGAUUUUAUAAAAAAAGUUUGGUAUGGACGUCAAAAGCAAGUAAACAGACAGCACGGAAACGGACUGCCUCGCGACGUCAUAUCUGAAGAAAGCGAUCAAAAAAGGACUAUAUAGGAUCUCGCAAUGCCUGUUAUAAAGCAAAUAAUAUGGACUAUCUUUUUGAUUUUAAUUGCUGGUAUUGUAGUGAUAUAUACGUCAACCUAUACACAAAAUAAAAUAUGUGAUAAAAAUACAUACUCAGGACACACUCAAGAAACUACAUCGAACUCAUUAAAGACAGAAGAAAAAAUCGACACCAAAACAAAAAUAUUUAUAAUAUUACUCUUUCUUACGUCAUCAGCUUUAAAUCUUGUUGUAAUUUUGUGCAUAAAAAAAUACUGCUUAAGGAGAAGGCCUGAAAUAAUAGAGCCUGAACUAAGGAUGCAUGAAAUAAAGGCUGCCUCGCGGCCUCAUUUAAAACAGAUAAUGAGGAAAAUAAGAAUGACGUAGACGUAAUUAUGCAUGGAUAGUUCUCUGAUUUUUUCUAAUGUUAUGUCUAAAUGCAUAAUUAUAUUUAUUUGUAACAUUCGUAAAAUGAACAAAAGCUAUAUUUAAUUUGACUGAGAACAUAACUUAAUCUAGACAGUGUAUUUGUUGAAUAUAUUACAUCCUAAAUGAUGCGUCAAACAAUACAUUUGACAAACUUACGACAUAAUAUAGAUAAGAGAAAUUGCAUGAAUUUAGUCGUCAAUUACCCAAUAUCAUCAAUGACAACAGAAUUAAAUUUUUGUAUCCCUUGAAUAUUAGUUUUAUGUAUGACGGAUUACUGUACUAUAUUAGUGUAACAAUUGAGCUAUUAGUUAAGUAUCGACAACAGUUUAGUGUCAACAGAACUCUUGUAAAUUUCAAAAAAUAUAAUGCCAAAAUUAAUAUUUUUUAUUAAUAUAUUGAAGUUUGAAUUGCUAUUUUAAUUAUUAAUUAAAAUUAAUUUAAUUAUUUUAUUAAUUCCAACCAUUAUCAUAUGCAAUACAAAAUGACUGACUAACAUAGUUAAGCUUGUUCAUAAUAUGAUAAAAUAUCAAAAUUGGCAUUAUUUCUUGAUUGCUAAAGUUUUCAAAAUAUAGUAUCUAGUAAUCAAUAAUACUAUCUGUAAAAAAAUAUUUUAAUAACAUUGUAUAAAACAUG
rnacentral:lncRNA from 1 species